UGAAGAAGGCUGAAAAGUUGUAAAAUCCUUUUGUUGAUGAAGAAUAAGGGUGAGAGGGAAUGCUCAUCUGAUGACGGUAAUCGACGAAUAAGCCCCGGCUAAUUACGUGCCAGCAGCCGCGGUAACACGUAAGGGGCGAGCGUUGUUCGGAAUUAUUGGGCGUAAAGGGCAUGUAGGCGGCUAUGUAAGCCUGAUGUGAAAUCCUGGGGCUUAACCCUAGAAUAGCAUUGGGUACUGUAUAGCUUGAAUUACGGAAGGGAAACUGGAAUUCCAAGUGUAGGGGUGGAAUCUGUAGAUAUUUGGAAGAACACCGGUGGCGAAGGCGGGUUUCUGGCCGAUAAUUGACGCUGAGAUGCGAAAGUGUGGGGAUCGAACAGGAUUAGAUACCCUGGUAGUCCACACUGUAAACGAUGUACACUAGGUGUUGGGGCAAGAGCUUCAGUGCCAAAGCAAACGCGAUAAGUGUACCGCCUGGGGAGUAUGCCCGCAAGGGUGAAACUCAAAGGAAUUGACGGGGGCCCGCACAAGCGGUGGAGCAUGUGGUUUAAUUCGAUGGUACGCGAGGAACCUUACCUGGGUUUGACAUCUAGUAGAAGGUCUUAGAGAUAAGGCCGGGUAGCAAUACCCUGCUAGACAGGUGCUGCAUGGCUGUCGUCAGCUCGUGCCGUGAGGUGUUGGGUUAAGUC
rnacentral:rRNA from 1 species